rnacentral:misc_RNA from 1 species
GGAAGGAUCAUUACCGAGUGCGGGCCCUCGCGGCCCAACCUCCCACCCUUGUCUCUAUACACCUGUUGCUUUGGCGGGCCCACCGGGGCCUCCUGGUCGCCGGGGGACGCUCGUCCCCGGGCCCGUGCCCGCCGAAGCGCUCUGUGAACCCUGAUGAAGAUGGGCUGUCUGAGUACUUUUGAAAAUUGUCAAAACUUUCAACAAUGGAUCUCUUGGUUCCGGCAUCGAUGAAGAACGCAGCGAAAUGCGAUAAGUAAUGUGAAUUGCAGAAUUCCGUGAAUCAUCGAAUCUUUGAACGCACAUUGCGCCCCCUGGCAUUCCGGGGGGCAUGCCUGUCCGAGCGUCAUUUCUGCCCUCAAGCACGGCUUGUGUGUUGGGUGUGGUCCCCCCGGGGACCUGCCCGAAAGGCAGCGGCGACGUCCGUCUGGUCCUCGAGCGUAUGGGGCUUUGUCACUCGCUCGGGAUGGACCUGCGGGGGUUGGUCACCACCAGAUUUUACCACGGUUGACCUCGGAUCAGGUAGGAGUUACCCGCUGAACUUAAGCAUAUCAAUAAGCGGAGGAAAAGAAACCAACCGGGAUUGCCUCAGUAACGGCGAGUGAAGCGGCAAGAGCUCAAAUUUGAAAUCUGGCCCCUUUGGGGUCCGAGUUGUAAUUUGCAGAGGAUGCUUCGGGUGCGGUCCCCGUCUAAGUGCCCUGGAACGGGCCGUCAUAGAGGGUGAGAAUCCCGUCUGGGAUGGGCGGCCGCGCCCGUGUGAAGCUCCUUCGACGAGUCGAGUUGUUUGGGAAUGCAGCUCUAAGCGGGUGGUAAAUUUCAUCUAAAGCUAAAUACUGGCCGGAGACCGAUAGCGCACAAGUAGAGUGAUCGAAAGAUGAAAAGCACUUUGAAAAGAGAGUUAAACAGCACGUGAAAUUGUUGAAAGGGAAGCGUUGUCCACCAGACUCGCCCGGGGGGGCUCAGCCGGCACGUGUGCCGGUGUACUCCUCUCCGGGCGGGCCAGCAUCGGUUUGGGCGGCUGGUGAAAGGCCCCGGGAAUGUAUCACCCUCCGGGGUGUCUUAUAGCCCGGGGUGCCAUGCAGCCAGCCUGGACCGAGGCCCGCGCUUCGGCGAGGAUGCUGGCGUAAUGGUGGUCAACGGCCCGUCUUGAAACACGGACCAAGGAGUCUAACAUCUAUGCGAGUGUUCGGGUGUCAAACCCGUCCGCGCAGUGAAAGCGAACGGAGGUGGGAGCCCCUCGGGGCGCACCAUCGACCGAUCCUGAUGUCUUCGGAUGGAUUUGAGUAAGAGCAUAGCUGUUGGGACCCGAAAGAUGGUGAACUAUGCCUGAAUAGGGCGAAGCCAGAGGAAACUCUGGUGGAGGCUCGCAGCGGUUCUGACGUGCAAAUCGAUCGUCAAAUUUGGGUAUAGGGGCGAAAGACUAAUCGAACCAUCUGGUAGCUGGUUCCUGC